rfam:Camelus ferus unplaced genomic scaffold scaffold803, whole genome shotgun sequence.
GAGGGUAUAGGCCAGUGGUAGAGUGCAUGCUUAGCAUGCAUGAGGUCCUGGGUUCAAUCCCCAGUACUUCCU